rnacentral:rRNA from 1 species
GAUGAACGCUGGCGGCGUGCCUAAUACAUGCAAGUCGAGCGAACAGACGAGGAGCUUGCUCCUCUGACGUUAGCGGCGGACGGGUGAGUAACACGUGGAUAACCUACCUAUAAGACUGGGAUAACUUCGGGAAACCGGAGCUAAUACCGGAUAAUAUAUUGAACCGCAUGGUUCAAUAGUGAAAGACGGUUUUGCUGUCACUUAUAGAUGGAUCCGCGCCGCAUUAGCUAGUUGGUAAGGUAACGGCUUACCACGGCGACGAUGCGUAGCCGACCUGAGAGGGUGAUCGGCCACACUGGAACUGAGACACGGUCCAGACUCCUACGGGAGGCAGCAGUAGGGAAUCUUCCGCAAAGGGCGAAAGCCUGACGGAGCAACGCCGCGUGAGUGAUGAAGGUCUUCGGAUCGUAAAACUCUGUUAUUAGGGAAGAACAAAUGUGUAAGUAACUAUGCACGUCUUGACGGUACCUAAUCAGAAAGCCACGGCUAACUACGUG